AUGUUCUGCUCCUAUCUUGCUAUACUAUUUAUGGUGCCUUAUUCCUUUCUGUUUGUUAUCUAGAUCUAUAUGAUGAAAUCUCUAUUAAAAUAAAAUGGGUGAUUGCCUGAAAAGCACAUAAGAAAGAGGACAUUUUGCACCAUACGAAAAGACUGUUCACCAGCUGUUCACUGUCAGAGAAAAAGGACACUUCCAGCCCUUAAUUUCAAAUCACAAGUGGAAAAGGAGAAAAGGGUGUCAAGUGUCUGCUCACACUUGAAGUUAUGGUCUUCUCCUAAAAGAUGGGUUCAAACCUUUCCCAAGAGAGGAUCAGUCUGAUUCUUGGCUCACUUCAUCCCAGGCACUACUCUGUUGGAUAUCCCUCUGCUGAGCUACGGAAAAAACAUCAUUAUUUGGAUGGCGGGAACAGCAAUCCUGGCUGA
rnacentral:lncRNA from 1 species